UCCGACUCUGCAUUUCCACUCUCGUGCUGCCCAAGGAGGAAUCCUGCUCUGGUAGUGACACUGGCCCUGUGACAGGAAGCACUUACAAACCAUCCCCCAUGCGACUGGAGGCCUUACAGGUAGGCGUCUGCAUUUCCUGCUCUGGACACAGUGAAGGUUCCUUCUGCCCAGGGUGACCCUGAGGAGCGGGGACAGGGACUGUGGGGAACCAAGCCAUGUCAGGACAGAGGUGGUAUAGAUGGUUUUGUUGUUUUGUUGGGGGGUGGGGAUUCCUGGGUUGUAAAAUGCCAGGUUCAUUCCUUUUUGUUCUUUUGUUGGAAGCUGUUGUAAUCGUCCCAGGUCUUCUAUGACAGUUGGCUAUAAUUGUGCAGUAAUUCGGAAAGGAAUUACACAGUUUAUCUUUCAUUACUGCAGCUUGGGUAGUUCUUGAUAAACUUCUGGCUGGUCUUGUGUCUGCUUAAUACAGAUAAAAUAACUGCUCCUUCAGAAGAAGAAAAUAAUCCUAGAUUUUAAAGAAUUGCUUUUUCUCUACUCAGAUAUGGUCUGAGCACAGGCUUGGUCCUGGAGGUUGCUGCUGAUUAUCUGGAUAACAUUAAACACUCCCUUUAAUCUUCUCAGCCUUAGUUUCUUCCUCUGUGAGCUCAGUUAUUACCUGCCUAAAAGAGUUAUCCUAAGAGUUGAGAUAAUAUUAAUGAAACACAAUAACAAACUAUAAAAUAUCAUAAAAUUAUGAUACAAUAUUUUUCAUUUAAUUCAACAUCAUAUUUCAGCCCCCUUUUUAACUGGCGUGAUUUCUGAAGUAUUCAGAUCUUGGGAUUAAUUCCCUGCUCUCCGUAGGUAUUGGCUCACCUGGCCCGGGGCUACUUUUCAGUGGCUCAGGUCUACUUGAUGGAGCUUGGUGAGGUGAUUUGCAAGUGCGUGAGUGAAGCAGAUCCAUCCAUUCAGCUUCAUGGAGCAAAGCUUCUGGAAGAACUAGGUACAGGCUUGAUACAGCAGCAUAAACCAGAUUCUGCAGUAGCACCUGAGCAGAGAGUGCCAGUCUUCAUGGUAAGUCCAUGCCCGUUCACAGCUUAGUGCUUCAGUUUGUUUUAUUUUGAGGCUUAGGGAUAAAGUGGGAUAGAUGGUAAAGGUUUCUUCCAAUGUCAAAAAUUACGGUUUAUAAUGUAGCAUGAUGUAAAAUUAGCAU
rnacentral:lncRNA from 1 species